GGUUCCCUAUGGGAGGUGUCCGCACUGCCCCCAGCGGUCAGUCUGUGUUGGUUCCCUAUGGGAGGUGUCCGCACUGCCCCCAGCGGUCAGUCUGUGUUGGUUCCCUAUGGGAGGUGUCCGCACUGCCCCCCAGCGGUCAGUCUGUGUUGGUUCCCUAUGGGAGGUGUCCGCACUGCCCCCCAGCGGUCAGUCUGUGUUGGUUCCCUAUGGGAGGUGUCCGCACUGCCCCCCAGCGGUCAGUCUGUGUUGGUUCCCUAUGGGAGGUGUC